rnacentral:snRNA from 1 species
AUCGCUUCUCGGCCUUUUGGCUAAGAUCAAGUGUAAAUAUUUACUUUUUUUUUUUUUUUUUCCAUAAAAUGCUUGUCUGUGUUCUGUGUCCCACACUCAGUACAUGUGGCUUAGGUGGGGCUCGUUCCAUUCUGAUGCUCCAGAGGAUACAUUCCAGACCUGGGUAACCAGAACAUUCCAU